rnacentral:rRNA from 1 species
CCUACGGGCGGCUGCAGUAGGGAAUUUUGCGCAAUGGGGGAAACCCUGACGCAGCAACGCCGCGUGAUCGAUGAAGCACUUCGGGGUGUAAAGCUCUGUCAGUGGGGACGAAACCUGCGGGUACCCACCGAGGAAGCACCGGCUAACUCCGGGCCAGCGGCCGCGGUAAUACGGGGGGGGCAAGCAUUGUCCGGAAUCAUUGGGCGUAAAGGGUUUGUAGAUGGCACGUUAAGUCUGGAGUUAAAGGCGGAAGCUCAACCUCCGGAGGGCACUGGAUACGGGCGAGCUUGAAUGCGGUAGAGGUAAAGGGAAUUCCUGGUGUAGCGGUGAAAUGCGUAGAUAUCAGGAGGAACAUCGGUGGCGAAGGCGCUUUACUGGACUGUAAUUGACACUGAGGAACGAAAGCCGGGGUAGCAAAUGGGAUUAGAUACCCCUGUAGUC